rnacentral:rRNA from 1 species
GACGAACGUUGGCGGCGUGCUUAAUACAUGCAAGUCCACUGAAGCAGUGGUAGCAAUCUCGCUGUGGAGGUGGCGCACGGGUGGGUAACACGUAGGUAAUCUGCCUUCAGGUCUGGCAUAACUCCGGGAAACCGGGGCUAAUAGCAGAUGAUGCAGCGGCUCGACAUCGAGACAGUUGUUAAAGCUAUGGCGCCUGAAGAUGAGCCUGCGUCUGAUUAGCUAGUUGGCGGGGUAACGGCCCACCAAGGCAACGAUCAGUAGCUGGUCUGAGAGGAUGAUCAGCCACACUGGAACUGAGACACGGUCCAGACUCCUACGGGAGGCAGCAGUAAGGAAUAUUGCUCAAUGGGAGAAAUCCUGAAGCAGCAACGCCGCGUGAGGGACGAAGGGCUUUUGCUUGUAAACCUCUGUAGUGAGAGAAAAAAAUCCCAAUCUUUGGGACAUGAUGGUAUCUCAAAAGUAAGCCCCGGCUAACUACGUG